CUUCGGUGAUGAGACGAUGACGAGUCAGAAAGGGUCCUGCGUGCCCGCCCCCCUCACCCAGGGCCCCGUUCUGGGGCGCUGUGUGGGAAGGCUGUGGUGCCAGAGCCCAUGCCAUGGUGGAUUCUGAGGCAUUUGUCUGAGAAGG